AAUGAACGCUAGCUACAGGCUUAACACAUGCAAGUCGAGGGGAAACGAUAUUGGAAGCUUGCUUCCGAUAGGCGUCGACCGGCGCACGGGUGAGUAACGCGUAUCCAACCUGCCCACCACUUGGGGAUAACCUUGCGAAAGUAAGACUAAUACCCAAUGAUAUCUCUAGAAGACAUCUGAAAGAGAUUAAAGAUUUAUCGGUGAUGGAUGGGGAUGCGUCUGAUUAGCUUGUUGGCGGGGUAACGGCCCACCAAGGCGACGAGCAGUAGGGGUUCUGAGAGGAAGGUCCCCCACAUUGGGACUGAGACACGGUCCAAACUCCUACGGGAGGCAGCAGUGAGGAAUAUUGGUCAAUGGGCGAGAGCCUGAACCAGCCAAGUAGCGUGCAGGAUGACGGCCCUAUGGGUUGUAAACUGCUUUUAUAAGGGAAUAAAGUGAGAGUCGUGACUCUUUUUGCAUGUACCUUAUGAAUAAGGACCGGCUAAUUCCGUGCCAGCAGCCGCGGUAACAC
rnacentral:rRNA from 1 species